rnacentral:rRNA from 1 species
UACGUAGGGUGCAAGCGUUGUCCGGAAUCAUUGGGCGUAAAGAGCUCGUAGGCGGUCUGUCGCGUCUGCUGUGAAAACCCGCAGCUCAACUGCGGGCUUGCAGGCGAUACGGGCAGACUUGAGUACUGCAGGGGAGACUGGAAUUCCUGGUGUAGCGGUGAAAUGCGCAGAUAUCAGGAGGAACACCGGUGGCGAAGGCGGGACUCUGGGCUGUAACUGACACUGAGGAGCGAAAGCAUGGGGAGCGAACAGG